AGACUCUGUGCGCGUGCAUAUCAAUAAGCGGAGGAAAAGAAACUAACAAGGAUUCCCUUAGUAACGGCGAGUGAAGCGGGAAGAGCUCAAAUUUGAAAUCUUCAAGGUUCUACCUUGACGAAUUGUAGUUUAUAGAAGUGUUUUCUGUUAGUAGAGUGGCAAAAGUUCUUUGGAAUAGGACAUCAUAGAGGGUGAGAAUCCCGUAUUUGGUCAUUCUUUCUAGCUUUGUGAUACACUUUCAACGAGUCGGAUUGUUUGGGAAUGCAGUCCAAGAUGGGUGGUAAAUUUCAUCUAAAGCUAAAUAUUGGCGAGAGACCGAUAGCGAACAAGUACCGUGAGGGAAAGAUGAAAAGAACUUUGAAAAGAGAGUUAAACAGUACGUGAAAUUGUCAAAAGGGAAGCGUUUGACACCAGUGUUGUUUAGUUGAAAAUCAAUUCAAUAAUUUUUGAUUUUAAGUAGUAUUGACUUCAUCAGCUUGCUGCUUUCUUUUCAGGAAUUAUUGAAUGCACUUUUCAGUUAACAAGUCAACAUCAAUUUCUUUUGUUGUAAAAGGGUAAGAGGAAGGUGGCUUACGCUUCGGCGUAAGUGUUUAUAGCCUUUUACCUCUGCAAUCGGAGAGAUUGAGGUCUGCAGCGUAGAUCCUUCGGGGUUAGAUACACUUGUGCUAAGCUAUAGCCUUGUAUAGACAACUUGUUGACUAUGCUCAGUCAUGUAGCUUACUCGCAAUUGCUAUUUUACCUACGCUUAGGAUGUUGAGUCGUAGAGCACGCAG
rnacentral:rRNA from 1 species